CAGUCGCCGCGGUAACACGUAGGGUGCAAGCGUUAAUCGGAAUUACUGGGCGUAAAGCGUGCGCAGGCGGUUAUAUAAGACAGAUGUGAAAUCCCCGGGCUCAACCUGGGAACUGCAUUUGUGACUGUAUAGCUAGAGUACGGCAGAGGGGGAUGGAAUUCCGCGUGUAGCAGUGAAAUGCGUAGAUAUGCGGAGGAACACCGAUGGCGAAGGCAAUCCCCUGGGCCUGUACUGACGCUCAUGCACGAAAGCGUGGGGAGCAAACAGGAUUAGAGACCCCAGUAGUCCCUGUCUCUUAUAC
rnacentral:rRNA from 1 species